rnacentral:misc_RNA from 1 species
AUGCAGUCCGGCUCGAGUGAAGCUCUUUUUCUUUUUUGAUAAAAAGAAAAAAGCGGGAACGGAAGACGGAAAAAGC